CAGAGCUAAAGAUUCCACCACACCACCUUUCUUCUCAUUCCUAAAACCCUAUUUCUCCUCUUCCCUCUUGCAAUCCGUCCCGCCUGCCUCCGCUGCUCCCACGCCGUCCAAGUUCGAAACGGAAACUCUUCUCCAGUUGCACCACAUCCUCAGCAUGACAUAAAGCAACAUUUUACUGCAGAUGUUAAAACAACGGGCACUGGAAUUCCAGCCUAGGCCUUCGAGAUUCUGAACACAUGACGCUAAUGGUGGCCGGAGAUUGGUGUUCCUCGAGAAGGAGCUGAGUGGGAAUCCUGAAAUGGUUGAUGGGAUUUGACCUUGGAGAUGGUCCUUUGAUAGGUUUAUCAUGUGCAGGCUUGUCGACUUUCCAAGUGGGGCAGGAACUUCUCCUUGGAGAUUAUUGGAAGAGAGAUUUAGUCUCUCCAACUUCAUUAGGUCUCCGAGGGAUGAUGGGAUUUCGCCAGAGAAGAAGUUUUCGCUUAGACCGAGGAUUACUUGCAGCUCAGUCAGCUCUGCUAGCUCAGAUGGUAUCGAUCCGCUUAAGCUGUUCUCUGAGAGUCUUAAUUAGUUCAUAGAGCUUCUUGCAUUGCCUGAGCGUUGAUGCACUUCGAUCUCUGCAGCUCUGGGACAUGCACAUGGACUCUUCACCAGUUGCAAUAUACAAGAUCCAUGAGCACCUGCGCCCUAAGUUAUCUGAGUUGUAUAGCAAUGAUCGCAUUUUUGAUAAAUUUGGGUGCUGUUUCAGUGGAGAUGGACUUCAUUAUGCGACUGGGUCUUAUAGCAACCUAGUGCGCAUUUUUUCCCAUGGAGGUGGAAGUGAAGAAGGAGCUACAGCAGAAGCUUGCAAAAGUCCCAGCAGGAAGCCAAGUCUCCACACGGCUCCAAGGGCUAGGAGGUCAUCCUUGAGCAACCUAGCAUGAGGAUUUUACCGACGUGGGCAUGAAAAUUCAAGCUCGCGCGGUAACAACGGUGGUUAUGACCUAAGCUCCAAGAUUCUACAUCUGGCACGGCGGUAACAACAGUAGUUAUGACCUAAGCUCCAAGAUUCUACAUCUAACAACAGUAGUUAGAUGGAUGAGGACUAUUAUCAGUCGUGGAAAGUGAUUUUUGCACUCACUUUUUCUCCCGUUGCACUUAGAAGGAGUGCAAAUGGAAAAAUAGGAAUGCAUAAAUCAUUUCGCUUUAGUCAUGCUCAUGUUUUCUUAGAGACAUUAUACUAAAAUAAACAUGGCUAGUCUCUCAGAUAUGUUUCCUCACAAGGCUCUUGAGAUUAUCAAGUGAUGAGGAGAAUGAAAUAAUGAACCACAAGAGUUCUUAGAACUAGUUCAAGUGUUGAGGAGAAAAAAAUAAUGAAUUAUGAUUAUGAUAAGCUUUGAGUUUGAUUUUCUUUGUUCCACCGACUCAUGACCCUAAAAAGGGAAUAAUUUGAGCAUAUUCCCUUUUGUAUGACACUGAGCUAUAAUAUGCUUUUGACAAA